CUACGGGUGGCUCCAGUGAGGAAUAUUGCACAAUGGGGGGAACCCUGAUGCAGCAACGCCGCGUGGAGGAUGACGCAUUUCGGUGUGUAAACUCCUUUUAUAUGUCAAGAAAAUGACGGUAGCAUAUGAAUAAGCACCGGCUAACUCCGUGCCAGCAGCCGCGGUAAUACGGAGGGUGCAAGCGUUACUCGGAAUCACUGGGCAGAAAGGACGCGUAGGCGGGUUGGAAAGUCAGGUGUGAAAUCCUACAGCUUAACUGUAGAACUGCACUUGAAACUUCUAAUCUAGAGUAUGGGAGGGGGAGAUGGAAUUAGUGGUGUAGGGGUAAAAUCCGUAGAUAUCACUAGGAAUACCUAAAGCGAAGGCGAUCUCCUGGAACAUUACUGACGCUAAGGCGUGAAAGCGUGGGGAGCAAACAGGAUUAGAUACCCCCGUAGUC
rnacentral:rRNA from 1 species